rnacentral:rRNA from 1 species
GAGGAAUAUUGGUCAAUGGACGAGAGUCUGAACCAGCCAAGUAGCGUGCAGGAUGACGGCCCUAUGGGUUGUAAACUGCUUUUGUAUGGGGAUAAAGUCAAUCACGUGUGAUUGUUUGCAGGUACCAUACGAAUAAGGACCGGCUAAUUCCGUGCCAGCAGCCGCGGUAAUACGGAAGGUCCGGGCGUUAUCCGGAUUUAUUGGGUUUAAAGGGAGCGUAGGCCGGAGAUUAAGUGUGUUGUGAAAUGUAGACGCUCAACGUCUGACUUGCAGCGCAUACUGGUUUCCUUGAGUACGCACAACGUUGGCGGAAUUCGUCGUGUAGCGGUGAAAUGCUUAGAUAUGACGAAGAACUCCGAUUGCGAAGGCAGCUGACGGGAGCGCAACUGACGCUUAAGCUCGAAGGUGCGGGUAUCGAACAGGAUUAGAUACCCUGGUAGUCCGCACAGUAAACGAUGGAUGCCCGCUGUUGGUACCUGGUAUCAGCGGCUAAGCGAAAGCAUUAAGCAUCCCACCUGGGGAGUACGCCGGCAACGGUG